AGUCUCCACCAUCUCGAUGGCUUGCUUCAUUUCCAGCUUCUUGUACAAAGAAACAAUGCUUGAUUUGGGUAGGUUCUUUCUGAUGAGGAUUUUCCGAAAAAGAGACAGAGGAAGCAAAAAUGCAAGUGAAAAACUUCCAGCUCCUCGAACACCACUGUAGAAAAUGAUGCACUGGUCCUUGAUGGAGAAGGGGAAAGUCCGAAACUGGUUACUGAUAUAGAAGAGAGCAAAUACGCCUAGAAAGGGGGAAACGUGUAUUAGAGCAGAGGAUCAUGAACGAGCAGAGAUACAGAGCUAGUGAACUGAGGUUGUGUGCGCGUGCCCUGCAAACAAUGCAGCCUAAUUCCAUCAUACACCCAUGAUUGUCUAUCCCAGG
rnacentral:lncRNA from 10 species